CUUUCAAGAUCCAGGAAAGUUUAAUUUCACCCCCCGCCUGUUCAGCCUCAGUAGUUCUUCAGGAGAAUUCUCAGCCACUGAGUUCGUUUACCCUUCAAGAGACCCUGCUGUCAUCAAUUCUAUGCCCUUCUUGCAAGAGGAUCUUUACACUGCCCCACAGCCAGCACUGUUCCUUGUUGACAAUCACCAUGAAGUGUACCUGUGGCAAGGCUGGUGGCCUGUGGAAAACAAAAUUGCUGGAUCAGCUCGAAUCAGAUGGGCUACAGACAGGAAAUGCGCCAUGGAGACAGUGCUCCAGUACUGCAAAGG